rnacentral:rRNA from 1 species
UCUUUAGUUGAAGAGAACUGGAAAGUUCCGUCGUAGAAGGUAAUAACCCUGUAGGCGAAAAGGAAAGAAAAGUAGAUCUACUCCAGAGUACCACGAGACACGUGAAACCUUGUGGGAAGCUGGGAGGACCAUCUCCCAAGGCUAAAUACUACCUAGUGACCGAUAGUGAAGCAGUACCGUGAGGGAAAGGUGAAAAGAACCCCGGAAGGGGAGUGAAAUAGAAUCUGAAACCGUGUGCCUACAAUCGGUCGGAGCACAUUAAAGUGUGACGGCGUACUUUUUGUAGAACGGGCCAGCGAGUUACGAUAUAUAGCGAGGUUAAGCACUUAUGGUGUGGAGCCGAAGGGAAACCGAGUCUGAAUAGGGCAACUAGUUGUAUAUUGUAGACCCGAAACCGGGUGACCUAUCCAUGGCCAGGAUGAAGCGGAAGUAAAAUUCCGUGGAGGUCCGAACCACGUUGGUGUUGAAAAACCAUGGGAUGAGCUGGGGAUAGCGGAGAAAUUCCAAUCGAACUCGGAGAUAGCUGG